rnacentral:rRNA from 1 species
UGACCUGCGGAGGGAUCAUU